CCUACGGGAAGGCAGCAGUGGGGAAUCUUGCGCAAUGGACGAAAGUCUGACGCAGCGACGCCGCGUGUGGGAUGAAGCUUUUCGGAGUGUAAACCACUGUUGCUCGGGACGAAUCUCCAGUUUCGACUGGAUUGACGGUACCGAGUGAGGAAGCACCGGCUAACUCUGUGCCAGCAGCCGCGGUAAUACAGAGGGUGCGAGCGUUGUCCGGAAUCACUGGGCGUAAAGGGCGCGUAGGUGGCUUGGUAAGCGUGUGGUGAAAGCUCGGGGCUCAACCCCGAGUCUGCCGUGCGAACUGCCGAGCUUGAGCAUAGUAGAGGCAAGUGGAAUUCCGGGUGUAGCGGUGGAAUGCGUAGAGAUCCGGAAGAACACCGGUGGCGAAGGCGGCUUGCUGGGCUAUUGCUGACACUGAGGCGCGACAGCGUGGGGAGCAAACAGGAUUAGAUACCCUGGUAGUCCACGCCGUAAACGAUAGGGUACUAGGUAUCUGGGGGAGCGACCCCCUGGGUGCCGGCGGCGUAACGACAUAAGUAACCCGACCUCGGGAGUACGGCCGGCCGAACGGCGUGAACGUAAAGUAAGAAAGUUAGACGNGNGUAGAGUGCGAGGACGACGACAGGGAGGUUAGGNGG
rnacentral:rRNA from 1 species